UCUAACAUGUGCGCGAGUCAUUGGGAUUUUUUUAAACCUAAAGGCGCAAUGAAAGUGAAGGUCGUUCCUUAGCGUCGACCGAGGGAGGAUGGCUCGCGUCACGAUGCGAGCCCGCACUCCCGGGGCGUCUCGUGCUCAUCGCGAGCAGAGGCGCACCCAGAGCGUACACGUUGGGACCCGAAAGAUGGUGAACUAUGCCUGGUCAGGACGAAGUCAGGGGAAACCCUGAUGGAGGUCCGUAGCGAUUCUGACGUGCAAAUCGAUCGUCGGAACUGGGUAUAGGGGCGAAAGACUAAUCGAACCAUCUAGUAGCUGGUUCCCUCCGAAGUUUCCCUCAGGAUAGCUGGCACUCGCUUGAGCGAGUCUCAUCUGGUAAAGCGAAUGAUUAGAGGCCUUGGGGCCGAAACGACCUCAACCUAUUCUCAAACUUUAAAUGGGUGAGAUCUCUGGCUUGCUUGAACGUUGAAGCCACGAGAAUUUUUGACGAUGGAUCAGAGUGCCAAGUGGGCCAAUUUUGGU
rnacentral:rRNA from 1 species